rnacentral:ncRNA from 1 species
CUUAGAUGUUCUGGGCCACACGCGCGCUACACUGAUGCAGUCAACGAGUUUUUCUCCCUAGUUCGAGAGGAUCGGGAAAUCUUCUCAAAUUGCAUCGUGAUGGGGAUAUACCAUUGCAAUUAUUGGUCUUCAACGAGGAAUUCCUAGUAAACGUGUGUCAUCAGCUCGUGUUGACUACGUCCCUGCCCUUUGUACACACCACCCGUCACUCCUACCGAUUGAAUGAUCUGGUGAAGUGUUCAGAUCACGUCAACGAGGGUGGUUCGCCGCCGACGAUGUCAUGAGAAGUUCACUGAACCUUAUCAUUUAGAGGAAGGAUAAGUCGUAACAAGGUUACCGUAGGUGAACCUGCGGUAGGAUCAUUG